rnacentral:tRNA from 1 species
GGAUAUAGCUCAGUUGGUAGAGUGUUUGCCUUGCAUGACCAAGGUCCUGAAUUCGAUCCCCAGCACCA